CCAUCUUCAACCACCACUUAUCAAAUGCCCAAAUGGAGCCUGGUUCUUCUUCCAGAAGUUUAUGCCCAUUUUAGAGGUUUGAGAACCAGGAAACCAAUGGUGUAAUUCAGCCUGAGUUCAAAGUCCUAAUAAUCAGGGUCUGAUAGUGUGAGUUCCAGUCUGACUCCAAAAGAUGGAGGACCAGGAGAAGAUGGAUGUCCUAACUCGAGACGCAAACAUGCCCUUCCUCUGCCUUGUUGUUCUAUCUGGUCCCUCUACAGAUCGGAUGAGGUGCACCUACAUUGAAGAGCAUCAUUUACUCAAUCUACUUUUCAAAUGCUAAUCUCUCCCAGAAACACUCACGGACACAUCCAGAAAUAAUGCUUUACCAGCUCUCAGGGCAACCCUUGACUCAGUCAGAUUGACACAUAAAAUUAAACAUCACACCUGAUAUGAUAUGAUGAGAAAGA